rnacentral:rRNA from 1 species
CCUACGGGAGGCAGCAGUGAGGAAUAUUGGUCAAUGGGCGGAAGUCUGAACCAGCCAUGCCGCGUGAAGGAUGACGGCCCUAUGGGUUUUAAACUUCUUUUAUACGGGGGUAAAGUGUCCCACGUGUGGGCUUUUGUAUGUACCUUCUGAAUAAGGAUCGGCUACUUCCUUGCCAGCAGCCGCGUUAAUACGGAGGAUCCAGGCGUUAUCCGGAUUUAUUGGGUUUAAAGGGGGCGUAGGUGGAUGGAUAAGUUAGCGGGGAAAGCUCCGGGAUUAAGGCGUGAACUGCCGUUAAUACUGUGGUUCUAGAGUGCAGAUGCGGUAGGCGGAAUGUGUGGUGUAGCGGUGAAAUGCUUAGAGAUCACACAGAACACCGAUUGCGAAGGCAGCUUACCAAUCCAUGACUGACGUUGAGGCACGAAAGCGUGGGGAUCAAACAGGAUUAGAUACCCGGGUAGUC